CCUACGGGAGGCAGCAGUCGAGAAUCAUUCACAAUGGGGGAAACCCUGAUGGUGCGACGCCGCGUGGGGGAAUGAAGGUCUUCGGAUUGUAAACCCCUGUCAUGUGGGAGCAAAUUAAAAAGAUAGUACCACAAGAGGAAGAGACGGCUAACUCUGUGCCAGCAGCCGCGGUAAUACAGAGGUCUCAAGCGUUGUUCGGAAUCACUGGGCGUAAAGCGUGCGUAGGCUGUUUCGUAAGUCGUGUGUGAAAGGCGCGGGCUCAACCCGCGGACGGCACAAGAUACUGCGAGACUAGAGUAGUGGAGGGGGAACCGGAAUUCUCGGUGUAGCAGUGAAAUGCGUAGAUAUCGAGAGGAACACUCGUGGCGAAGGCGGGUUCCUGGACAUUAACUGACGCUGAGGCACGAAGGCCAGGGGAGCGAAAGGGAUUAGAUACCCCAGUAGUC
rnacentral:rRNA from 1 species